rnacentral:tRNA from 1 species
GUCCCCUUCGUCUAGCGGUUUAGGACAUCGCCCUUUCACGGCGGAAACACGGGUUCGAGUCCCGUAGGGGACGCCA